CCCAUGUUAUGAUCUCUACAGUCUGCAUACAUUUUUCAGAUGCAAUUGACCUCCAUUGCUGGUUUCAGACAUCUCUGAGACCUCUUGUCUUUUCCUCCAAGUUAUUUUCUCAGAUCACGCCAAUAGAAAAGUAGUUAUUUAUGAUGUUGUAAGGCACUGGGUCUCCUUUCUCAUCUUUAUCAUUGGGUAUUACUUCAAAUUUCCACCUGUCCAGCAAAAUCUCAGAGCUGUUCUCAAUGUCUUUUAAGAUCUUCAUUAAAUUUUCACCUUCAUAACCUCCUCCCCAUCUCAGACACCUUGCUAAAUCAUUGCCAGUCCCAAGAGGCAGAAUUGCAACUGGAGGAUGCUUAAGCAAGUUUGCUUUCUCUAUGCAAUCCAAAAUCCAGCCUACUGUUCCAUCUCCA
rnacentral:lncRNA from 1 species